rfam:Gossypium arboreum cultivar AKA8401 contig_66_5, whole genome shotgun sequence.
UGUUAAAAAAAUUUAUCCAUUUUUACUGUUAAAAAAUGGCGCGACUGAUAAAACAAUCAGAUAGUUAUUCAUGUCACGUAUACCUUAUACUGGCGUACAAGGACCAAUUUUUAAAAAUUGAAAUGAAUAAUUUUUUUAAUA